AAUUAAGAAAGGCAAACCCUUAGUCAAUUUACGAUCCGAGUUUCAAUCAACCGAUUAAUCAACCGAAACGCUACCUGCUAUGAAUGCCCAAGGAGAGCAAAACGCCGCACGUGUCAGUCAUUUCUGUUCCAACUGGCAGCCAAGGAGUCAGUCCAGUGAUGCUGAGGAGGCUGGAGGUCGUAGAGGAAGGACGAGGACAUGCAGUUGCAAGGCUUGCCGGUUGGAUGAUGAGUGACCUCGUUUCUGCUUCUGCCCAUAAAGACCCAUACUUCUAGGAUGUCCCUUUGAAGACCCAGAGGUCACAGGAAGUUGCAUUUCUUUGAGGGCCAGCAUCUGAGGAAGACAGAGCUCCAUCUUAGUAGAAUCUUUUUUAUUGGCAACAAGCUGUUAUUAUGCACCUUGUGAGCGUGCACUUUUGAUAGUUUUGCAUUGGCUUUACAAAACAUGGCUGGCGCCUGAACUCUUCCUUUGCUGACCAGUCUCAUUUAUCUUACACUUAAUUCUAUGCUAUUUCAAUAAACAAUUUCUGUAUUUU